rnacentral:misc_RNA from 1 species
UCCGGCUUAUCACCGGCAGUUCCUUUAGAGUGCCCAACUAAAUGGUAGCAACUAAAGACGAGGGUUGCGCUCGUUGCGGGACUUAACCCAACAUCUCACGACACGAGCUGACAACAGCCAUGCAGCACCUGUGCUAGCCCCUUACGGACACGGGCUUUCACCCGCUUUAACUAGCAUGUCAAGCCUAGGUAAGGUGGGGAUGACGUGAGGAUAG